AAUCACCUCAGUUAGGUGAGGCUCCUGCAUAAAAAUAGGCCACUGCCCAGAAACGUCGAGAGACGCCAAUGGGCCGAACAGGUAUUACCGGAUUAAGGUUUUACUUAAUGUGGCUGAGUAAAUCGACUCUACGUUAUGCAGUGCCGAAACUCCACGAGUGAGGAAGGU
rnacentral:sRNA from 2 species